rnacentral:rRNA from 1 species
AUUGAACGCUGGCGGCAUGCCUUACACAUGCAAGUCGAACGGCAGCGCGGACUUCGGUCUGGCGGCGAGUGGCGAACGGGUGAGUAAUACAUCGGAACGUACCCUGUUGUGGGGGAUAACUAGUCGAAAGAUUAGCUAAUACCGCAUACGACCUGAGGGUGAAAGUGGGGGACCGCAAGCCUCACGCAGCAGGAGCGGCCGAUGUCUGAUUAGCUAGUUGGUGGGGUAAAGGCCCACCAAGGCGACGAUCAGUAGCUGGUCUGAGAGGACGAUCAGCCACACUGGGACUGAGACACGGCCCAGACUCCUACGGGAGGCAGCAGUGGGGAAUUUUGGACAAUGGGGGCAACCCUAAUCCAGCAAUGCCGCGUGUGUGAAGAAGGCCUUCGGGUUGUAAAGCACUUUUGUCCGGAAAGAAAUCGCGCUGGUUAAUACCUGGCGUGGAUGACGGUACCGGAAGAAUAAGCACCGGCUAACUACGUGCCAGCCGCCGCUGUAC